rnacentral:rRNA from 1 species
UACGUAGGGACCAAGCGUUGUUCGGAUUUACUGGGCGUAAAGGGCGCGUAGGCGGCAAUUCAAGUCAUCUGUGAAAUCUCCGGGCUUAACUCGGAACGGUCAGAUGAUACUGCUUUGCUAGAGUGCGGAAGGGGCAAUCGGAAUUCUUGGUGUAGCGGUGAAAUGCGUAGAUAUCAGGAGGAACACCGAUGGCGAAGGCAGUUCUCUGGGCCGUAACUGACGCUGAGGAGCGAAAGCGUGGGGAGCGAACAGG